AGAGAACGCUGGCGGUAGGCCUAACACAUGCAAGUCGAACGGCAGCACAGUAAGAGCUUGCUCUUACGGGUGGCGAGUGGCGGACGGGUGAGGAAUACAUCGGAAUCUACUUUUUCGUGGGGGAUAACGUAGGGAAACUUACGCUAAUACCGCAUACGACCUACGGGUGAAAGCAGGGGAUCUUCGGACCUUGCGCGAUUGAAUGAGCCGAUGUCGGAUUAGCUAGUUGGCGGGGUAAAGGCCCACCAAGGCGACGAUCCGUAGCUGGUCUGAGAGGAUGGUCAGCCACACUGGAACUGAGACACGGUCCAGACUCCUACGGGAGGCAGCAGUGGGGAAUAUUGGACAAUGGGCGCAAGCCUGAUCCAGCCAUACCGCGUGGGUGAAGAAGGCCUUCGGGUUGUAAAGCCCUUUUGUUGGGAAAGAAAAGCAGCAGGUUAAUACCCCGCUGUUCUGACGGUACCCAAAGAAUAAGCACCGGCUAACUUCGUG
rnacentral:rRNA from 1 species